rnacentral:rRNA from 1 species
GAUGACGUUGAUAGGUCGGGUGUGUAAGCGUAGCGAUACGUUGAGCUAACCGAUACUAAUGAACCGUGAGGCUUAACCUUACAACGCCGAAG